rnacentral:rRNA from 1 species
GUUGUAGUAAUAAAAAUUAUGAAGCAAAAAUUAUGGCGGUAUUUUAAGCUUUUCAGAGGAAUUUGCUCUUUAAUGGAUAAAACACCUAAAUCUUACUUAAAUUUGUUAAUUCAAUUUGUAUACCACUAUAAAAACAAUUUAUAACUUUAAUUGUUUAAAUUUAUUAAAUUAAAAUAUAUUAAGUCAAGGUGCAGUAAAAAUUUAAGAAUGAAGUGAAUUACAUUACUCUUUAGAGAAAUAAAUUUAAAAUAAUAUUUAGGAUUUGAAAGUAAAAUUAAAAUAGAAUGUUAAUUUGAAUUAAGCUCUAAAAUAUGUAC